rnacentral:rRNA from 1 species
UUAUUGAGCGUAAUGCGCGCGCAGGUGGUUUCUUAAGUCUGAUGUGAAAGCCCACGGCUCAACCGUGGAGCGGCAUUGGAAACUGGGAGACUUGAGUGCAGAAGAGGUAAGUGGAAUUCCAUGUGUAGCGGUGAAAUGCGUAGAGAUAUGGAGGAACACCAGUGGCGAAGGCGACUUUCUGGUCUGUCACUGACACUGAGGCGCGAAAGCGUGGGGAGCAAACAGGAUUAGAUACCCUGGUAGUCCACGCCGUAAACGAUGAGUGCUAAGUGUUAGAGGGUUUCCGCCCUUUAGUGCUGAAGUUAACGCAUUAAGCACUCCGCCUGUCGAGUACGGCCGCAAGGUUGAAACUCAAAUGAAUUGACGGGGGCCCGCACAAGCGAUGAAGCAUGUGGUUUAAUUCGAAGCAACGCGAAGAACCUUACCAGGUCUUGACAUCCCCUGAAACCCCAAAAAAAGGGCUUUCCCUUCGGGAGCUAAUUACAGGGUGGUGCAUGGUUGUCCCCACCCCGUUUCGGGAAAUUUUUUUUUUAAGUCCCCAAACCAAGGCAACCUUGGUUCUUUGUUCCCACCCUUAUGGUGGCCCCUUAAGGGAACUGCCGGGAAAAACCCGGAGAAGGGGGGGAAAACUAAAUUCUUCGGGCCCUUAGACGGGGGAACCCCGGUUCAUUGGGGGAAAAAGCUCAAUACCGGGGGGGCCAUUUUCAAAAACGUUCUUUCCAUUUAAACCCACCCCCCUUAACCGAAUCCUAAAACCGGCCCAUGCGGGAAAUUUCCCAAAAAA